rnacentral:rRNA from 1 species
UACGUAGGGUGCAAGCGUUGUCCGGAAUUAUUGGGCGUAAAGAGCUCGUAGGCGGUUUGUCGCGUCUGCUGUGAAAAUCCAGGGCUUAACCCUGGACCUGCAGUGGGUACGGGCAGACUAGAGUGUGGUAGGGGAGACUGGAAUUCCUGGUGUAGCGGUGAAAUGCGCAGAUAUCAGGAGGAACACCGAUGGCGAAGGCAGGUCUCUGGGCCACUACUGACGCUGAGAAGCGAAAGCAUGGGGAGCGAACAGG